GUUCAGCGUCACAUAAACCUGCUCACCGGCAUAUUGGCCUUGCUGCUAUUGUGUACUGAUAACAUGGACACUCAUAUCUAUAUCUCGUAACCUCGCGACCUGUCCUUGGGUAACUGUACCAGAUUGUAUGGUUACCCCUCAACUGAAUAAUGCACUGCUCCACAAAAACUACAAAGUGAACUAAUACUUGGACUUCACAUUCAACAGACAGGUCGCACUGGGAUAGUCGUAUGAAUAGAUUCCCUUGUCAAACGACAAUUUAAGGUGGCACUGGAACUGGGACAGUUGUAUGAAUAGAUUCCCUUAUGAAACGACAAUUUUAGGCUGCUGUCUGUUCACAAGUUGGAAUGUAGGCGUGUAAGUCGCAAGAAGGUUCAGACUGUCUUCGCCUGUUGUGGACAUAUUGGAACUACAACACAUUCAGAGGUAUUUUUACAAAACUUUUACAUAUGCACAGCUAGAGGAUACUAAGUUAAGACUUAUUAGCUGAAAUAUCUUUUGGGGCUGUCGGGUAGCCUAGUGGUUAAAGCGUUCGCUCGUCACGCCGAAGACCCGGGUUCGAUUACCGACAUGGGUA